rnacentral:rRNA from 1 species
UACGUAGGGUCCGAGCGUUGUCCGGAAUUAUUGGGCGUAAAGAGCUCGUAGGCGGUUUGUCGCGUCUGCUGUGAAAUCCCGAGGCUCAACCUCGGGUCUGCAGUGGGUACGGGCAGACUGGAGUGCGGUAGGGGAGAAUGGAAUUCCUGGUGUAGCGGUGAAAUGCGCAGAUAUCAGGAGGAACACCGGUGGCGAAGGCGGGUCUCUGGGCCGAUAUUGACGCUGAGGAGCGAAAGCGUGGGGAGCAAACAGG